rnacentral:rRNA from 1 species
UGAGGAAUUUUGGGCAAUGGGCGAAAGCCUGACCCAGCGACGCCGCGUGGGCGAUGAAGGCCUUCGGGUCGUAAAGCCCUGUGAGUUGGGAAGAAGGUGCAGCGUGCUAAUACCACGCUGUGCUGACAGUACCAACAGAGGAAGCCCCGGCCAACUACGUGCCAGCAGCCGCGGUAAAACGUAGGGGGCAAGCGUUGGUCGGAAUUCCUGGGCGUAAAGCGCGUGUAGGCGGCUUGGCAAGUCGGAAGUGAAAGCCCGCGGCUCAACCGGGGAACUGCUUUCGAUACUG